GGGGAAUAUUGGACAAUGGGCGCAAGCCUGAUCCAGCAAUGCCGCGUGAGUGAUGAAGGCCUUAGGGUUGUAAAGCUCUUUCACCCGUGAUGAUAAUGACAGUAGCGGGAGAAUAAGCCCCGGCUAACUCCGUGCCAGCAGCCGCGGUAAUACGGAGGGGGCUAGCGUUGUUCGGAAUUACUGGGCGUAAAGCGCACGUAGGCGGCUUUGUAAGUUAGAGGUGAAAGCCUGGAGCUCAACUCCAGAACUGCCUUUAAGACUGCAUCGCUUGAAUCCAGGAGAGGUGAGUGGAAUUCCGAGUGUAGAGGUGAAAUUCGUAGAUAUUCGGAAGAACACCAGUGGCGAAGGCGACUUACUGGACAACUGUUGACGCUGAGGUGCGAAAGCGUGGGGAGCAAA
rnacentral:rRNA from 1 species